rnacentral:rRNA from 1 species
ACAACAGGUGGAGCCUGCGGUUUAAUCGGACUCAACGCCGGGAAACUCACCAGAUAAGACAGCUGAAUGAUAGUCGGGCUGAAGACUCUACUUGACUAGCUGAGAGGAGGUGCAUGGCCGUCGUCAGUUCGUACUGUGAAGCAUCCUGUUAAGUCAGGCAACGAGCGAGACCCACGCCAACAGUUGCCAGCUCGUCCUCCGGGAUGGUGGGGACACUGUUGGGACCGCCUCUGCUAAAGAGGAGGAAGGAAUGGGCAACGGUAGGUCAGCAUGCCCCGAAUUAUCCGGGCUACACGCGGGCUACAAUGGUCAGGACAAUGGGUAUCGACACCGAGAGGUGGAGGCAAUCUCCUAAACCUGUCCUUAGUUCGGAUUGUGGGCUGCAACUCGCCCACAUGAAGCUGGAAUCCGUAGUAAUCGCGUUUCAACAGAACGCGGUGAAUACGUCCCUGCUCCUU